AGGUCCAAUCUGCACUUGAAAUGGUACAUGAUCAGUUUAAUCAAUUGGUGAGGCAUUUUUUCAAACACCUAUGGUGCAUCUUCCCACUCUAAUGAUGAAAUCAAUUUCAUCCUGAAUCUCCUUCGCUUGAUCAUUUUCUUUUAAGAUUAUAACCUCAGAGGAUCCCAAAUCAAAAUCAUAACCCCUCGAAUUAAACUCAAAACAGUCAGUAUAAUACAUGUAUGUUCUUUCUCCAGCAACUCUUUCUUUGUCCUUUCCAA
rnacentral:misc_RNA from 1 species